GAUCCUGGCUCAGGACGAACGCUGGCGGCGCGCCUAAUGCAUGCAAGUCGAACGAGCGAGAGAGAGCUUGCUUUCUCGAGCGAGUGGCGAACGGGUGAGUAACGCGUGAGGAACCUGCCUCAAAGAGGGGGACAACAGUUGGAAACGACUGCUAAUACCGCAUAAGCCCACGGGUCGGCAUCGACCAGAGGGAAAAGGAGCAAUCCGCUUUGAGAUGGCCUCGCGUCCGAUUAG
rnacentral:rRNA from 1 species